AUUGAACGCUGGCGGUAUGCUUAACACAUGCAAGUCGAACGGCAGCAUGGUCUAGCUUGCUAGACUGAUGGCGAGUGGCGGACGGGUGAGUAACGCGUAGGAAUAUGCCUUGAAGAGUGGGACAACUUGGGGAAACUCAAGCUAAUACCGCAUGUACUCGAGAGAGUAAAGCUGGGGACCUUUAGGCCUGGCGCUUUAAGAUUAGCCUGCGUCCGAUUAGCUAGUUGGUAGGGUAAAGGCCUACCAAGGCGACGAUAGGUAGCUGGUCUGAGAGGAUGAUCAGCCACACUGGAACUGAGGGACGGUCCAGGCUCCUACGGGAGGCAGCAGUGGGGAAUAUUGGACAAUGGGGGGAACCCUGAUCCAGCAAUGCCGCGUGUGUGAAGAAGGCCUGAGGGUUGUAAAGCACUUUCAGUGGGGAGGAGGUUUGGAAGGUUAAGAGCUAUUCAAAUGGACGUUACCCACAGAAGAAGCACCGGCUAACUCCGUGCCAGCCGCCGCAGUAA
rnacentral:rRNA from 1 species